rnacentral:rRNA from 1 species
UACGUAGGGUGCGAGCGUUGUCCGGAAUUAUUGGGCGUAAAGAGCUCGUAGGCGGCCUGUCGCGUCGGAUGUGAAAGCCCGGGGCUUAACCCCGGGUCUGCAUUCGAUACGGGCAGGCUAGAGUGUGGUAGGGGAGAUCGGAAUUCCUGGUGUAGCGGUGAAAUGCGCAGAUAUCAGGAGGAACACCGGUGGCGAAGGCGGAUCUCUGGGCCACUACUGACGCUGAGAAGCGAAAGCAUGGGGAGCGAACAGG